ACAACGCGCUCCGUGCAGUGAGCUUCGAUUAUUUAUAAAUAUUCUUAUCGUCUUCACGAAAUACAAAUGUAAACAUUUUUAAAGAAUCUCUAGUUGAUUGAAUUUGGUUUGAAUUCAAUGAACGUGAAAUAUCAUUUAAUUACGUCAAAUAGAAUUCAUAAUCAACAAUUCAUUCAGGAAGUAUUUUUGUCUGAUAAACAUGAUAACUUCUCAAAAAUAAUGUAUUUUAUGCUUUUGAAUUUUCAGCAUGUCAUAGCAGGAAUAGUAGAUACUGAAUUUUCAAUAUUUUCAUUGCAGCUACUGUUAAAUAUAUUCGUGAAAACAUUCUGAGCAAGUAGGAAUAAUCUGUCAAUGUUGAUAAGAACGUAAAAUAUUAAAAGGAAAUUGCUUCGAUAAACGUCUGUAAUCCAUUUGUGGAAGUGAAAUUCUUGAUGAUAGACAUAUUAUGAAUACUUGGUGGAUAAUCAAAUAGGUAAUGUCAUUCCAUAUUCAAUCUGGUUUGUAAUAUCAAAGUUCCAGAGCAUAUUUGCCCCUUUUCAGAGCUCAUUCCACGUCUGACGUUUUUGGAAACUAACAAACUAAUUUUAAUAGUACUUAACCGAUCUACCUGUUAUAUAAAUUCGCAAAAUAUCUAAUAUAUAUAUAUAUAUAUAUAUUUUUUUUUUUUUGGAAAGAGUGAUCGAAACUUUUCUGACAUAAUUUAUCAUAAUGUUGAUCUCAAAAUUCGAUAUCUCGAUAGAUGUUGUGAGGAUAUAGAUAAUAUGCUAUAGAGAUUGUGAUCCGAAUUCACCUGGAAAAAAGCGUACCUAUGUCUUUUUGAUCAAUUCUCUGUACUCAAUUUGUAUUAAUUAUGAUGAAAUCAUAAUUGAGAGCACUAAAUGAAAGCUAACCUAUAUUUUUUAGUGUGGAUGGAAAUCCAUUUUUCGCUGGAAUGAAUGGCAAUUCUUUCUCCUCUUGAAAUAGAUAACGAUAUACUUAUUAUUGAAUAAAUCAGAACGGAGCAAAGUCAGUUCGGAACCAGAGUGCUACACGGAGACAAUGAGAUAACGAUUUCAUUCAAAGAAGAGAGUUAGAGCGAAUAAUCGUCACAUAUCAUUUUAAAAAAUGUUUUUCCAUUUCCUUCAUCAUGACUUGUGCCUCAGGCGAUUUUUCAUAUUAGUUUAUUUAUUUAUUUUCAAAUUAGGAACAUGAACCGGUGACUGAUUAGGAAAACUCUGAAUUAAUUGAAUAUGUAUUCGAAUUGAUUAUCUCGAUAGCCUGUUUGAUGUCAAACUUCUUACAUAUCCAAGAUAUUGACAAAUAAAAAAUCUUUCUUUUUGGUAACCCAAAAAAUUGAUUAUUUUUCUUCACAUUGUGUGUUUGUGACUUUGAAGAUCAAAGAAGUAUGAACAACGAAGAACUCCAGUUUUUUUCAUCCUAAUGAAAUUUCUAUUUUUUCAAAUGGUGACGUUAAGACAUAUGAAUAUUACUCUCUGGGCUCAUAGUAGAAAUAACGAUGAAAUUACUGUUGUAUAAUUUACAGGAGGAUGUUCGUCAGUGAAUUUGAGUGACUAGUGACUUAUUUUCAGGGUAGUUAUGAAUUCGUUGGGAAUGUGACUUCGAUGGAUUUUUGUUGAGCAACAUCAAUUCAAAUUCCAAUAAUUUACUUCACCGUAACAUUUCCGAUUUUUCAGAUGAUAAUAGUAUGAUUCAUCUGAUGAAUAUAAUCGACAGCUGAAGUAGGUAAUUCAAUAUGUAUACAAUUCGUUAUGAGACAUGAAUAAUAUCAUGAUAAACCACGCAAUUCGAAGAAAAUAGAAGAUAUCUAAGUCAUUAGAGUCCAUUUUAGCUUCAAUUAUUUAUAAAAAAUGUAGUUGUGUGACAAGUGGGGUUAAUUCCAAAUUGAAUAAAUUGCAUGAUGCGGGAAUGUAACUGCAGUUCCUACACUUCUGCUAUCGCAGAAGAAGCCCUUGUUUAUACUGCCUUAUCCACGACAAAGUAUAAUCAUUUCAAAUAUCAUUGCCUGAUUUUUUUCAUCGUUAGUGAAGAUGAUGAAUCUUUUUCCCUGUACGGAAAACGUCACACCUCAGGAUGAACGAAAGGCAGCCGAUAUCAUAAAGAAUUCGACACCUCCAGGAUACACAUUUAUUGGCGUAAGACCAGAAGUAAGGUUAGGAAGAAAUCCUCAUAGGUGGAUUGGUGUAUUUACUGAAAAUACAGGAGCCUAUGAAACUGGAUGUCCAGCAAUGGUUUAUUUAAAACAGCAAUUCAGAAAACUCGUCCCACAAGGUUCGGAUUUGUCUUCGGUUAGAAUCAUUCCCAGUACUUCAGGAAGUACUAUUGAAGUUGAAUACCUCGUAAACUGCUUCUGUACGAAAGUUCCUAGAAGAAAAAGAAGUUCUAGGUACCACACAAGAAGCUACACAGGAGAAACUGGGAAAUUUAGUGAAUAAUUAUUUUUCAUUUGAGUUCAAAAUUAUAACACAAAAUCUGAAGUUAGUUCUGUAUGUUUUUCGACAAUAGUCUCAUUGUUAUUAUGUUGCUUAUAUGCAAAAAUAAUAGAUAUACAAUAAAAUAUAUGAUAAUUAUCAAGGAAAUGACACAACUAUUUUAUUGGGCUAUAUGAUCUGGUAUGAAGUUCUGUAAUUUUUGUGUGGUGAAUAUUGAAUUUUUUUGAUUGUAAUGAUAUUUGAAAUGAUUGUAGUCUGUGGAUAAGAAAUAAAUGAGUAAUUAGUC